UACGAAGGGGGCUAGCGUUGUUCGGAAUCACUGGGCGUAAAGCGCACGUAGGCGGAUUUUUAAGUCAGGGGUGAAAUCCCGAGGCUCAACCUCGGAACUGCCUUUGAUACUGGAGAUCUUGAGUCCGGAAGAGGUAAGUGGAACUGCGAGUGUAGAGGUGAAAUUCGUAGAUAUUCGCAAGAACACCAGUGGCGAAGGCGGCUCACUGGCCCGGUACUGACGCUGAGGUGCGAAAGCGUGGGGAGCAAGCAGG
rnacentral:rRNA from 1 species